rnacentral:rRNA from 1 species
AACGAACGCUGGCGGCAGGCCUAACACAUGCAAGUCGAACGCCCUGCUUGCAGGGAGUGGCAGACGGGUGAGUAACGCGUGGGAAUCUACCCAGUGGUGCGGAAUAACACAGAGAAAUUUGUGCUAAUACCGCAUGAGCCCUUCGGGGGAAAGAUUUAUCGCCAUUGGAUGAGCCCGCGUUGGAUUAGCUAGUUGGUAGGGUAACGGCCUACCAAGGCGACGAUCCAUAGCUGGUCUGAGAGGAUGAUCAGCCACACUGGGACUGAGACACGGCCCAGACUCCUACGGGAGGCAGCAGUGAGGAAUAUUGGACAAUGGGCGCAAGCCUGAUCCAGCCAUGCCGCGUGAGUGAUGAAGGCCCUAGGGUUGUAAAGCUCUUUCAGUAGGGAAGAUAAUGACGGUACCUACAGAAGAAGCCCCGGCUAACUUCGUGCCAGCCGCCGCCGUAACAC